GACAUGGCUAACGAUGACAGAUAUGAAGU
rnacentral:piRNA from 1 species